GUUUGAUCCUGGCUCAGGAUGAACGCUGGCGGUAUGCUUAACACAUGCAAGUCGAACGGAACCUUCGGGUUUAGUGGCGGACGGGUGAGUAACGCGUGAGAAUCUGCCUCUAGGUCGGGGACAACAACUGGAAACGGUUGCUAAUACCCGAUGUGCAGCAAUGUGAAAGAUUUAUUGCCUAGAGAUGAGCUCGCGUCUGAUUAGCUAGUAGGUGUGGUAAUGGCGCACCUAGGCGACGAUCAGUAACUGGUCUGAGAGGAUGACCAGUCACACUGGGACUGAGACACGGCCCAGACUCCUACGGGAGGCAGCAGUGGGGAAUUUUCCGCAAUGGGCGAAAGCCUGACGGAGCAAUACCGCGUGAGGGACGAAGGCUUUUGGGUCGUAAACCUCUUUUCCCUGAGAAGAAGAUCUGACGGUAUCAGGGGAAUCAGCAUCGGCUAACUUCGUGCCAGCAGCCGCAGUAAUACGAGGGAUGCAAGCGUUAUCCGGAAUUAUUGGGCGUAAGGCGUCCGCAGGUGGCUCUGUAAGUCUGUCGUUAAAGAAUGGGGCUCAACCCCAUACAGGCGAUGGAAACUACAAGGCUAGAGUUUGGUAGGGGUCACGGGAAUUCUUAGUGUAGCGGUGAAAUGCGUAGAUAUUAAGAAGAACACCAGCGGCGAAAGCGCGUGACUGGGCCAGUACUGACACUCAUGGACGAAAGCUAGGGGAGCGAAAGGGAUUAGAUACCCCUGUAGUCC
rnacentral:rRNA from 1 species